rnacentral:lncRNA from 1 species
AACUUGUGAGGAUGAUUAACUCCACCAUCUCUACUGUAACAAGAGUUGCACACAUCGUAGUCUGGACAUACUUCACAGCGCCAGCCUUGACCAGUUUCAAUGUCGAGGUGACACGCAUUGCAGGUCGUGACAAACGCAGGAGCAGUUGGGUUAUGCAGAUGAUAAAGGACCAUCAUUGAUGAAUGUUUUGCCCGCCUCAACGUGUCGUACUGAUAAUGGUUCCCUUGACAAAGACUCAGAAACGCUUGCCUUGUGUCGAAAAACUCGCUUUCUAGUAUCUCAUCUUUGUCCCUUGUAUCUGCAGGAAUAUCUGUAAUCUCAACCUGCAAAUACAAUCCCACUAAGAUUCAUGAAACUGAUCACAGACAAAAGGUUAAGGACGCUAUCCUCAAUAAGCAAAUGCAACUCACAGGGUACAACGCAUGCUUAUCCCUGAAAUUAGCAGGAUGCCUUUCCCUGUCUUCACGCCGCUGUUCAGCUUCAUAACACCUGAAAGGGAAUCAGUAAGAUUCUUAUGUGCAAUCAUGGUUCUAAAACUUGUUCUAGGCAGUAACUUAAUCCUACCCGAAACGAUUUCUUCUUUAAAAUCCAAUUUAUAUGACUCAACUCGGUUUAAAUCGGUUAAAUAAGUCUAAAUCUAAUAAAUUAAGCAAUAAUGUUAGUACUCUAAUUUCUUUUGUUUUCUAUAUCUAAUCUGAUAAUUCAUUAUUCAUCAAAAUAAUUUUCUAGGCCUAGUUGAUAUCCUCUACAAAGCGCCUAGUUAAGGCCUAGCGAUUUCUUAACAUUGUGUGCAAUUCAACAAUAAAAGUAAAGAGCAGAAGAGAAAGGGAAUAGUUCUUACUUAUCACAAAUCUGAAAGUAUUUGCACUGACUGCAGAGCCAACGAUUUCCAGAUACCAUCAACAUACAGCAAUGUGUGCAAGAAGGUUGCAGGUGGACCAUGAUAAAGUCCUCCUUCAUAGGGUGAAUGGUCUCACCAAGCUGGGAACAAAGGUGAAUAUAAUAUUACCAAAACAAUAACAAAAAGAUAGUAAAACGCAUAGAAAGUAAAGAUUACUUUAUGCAUUAGCAGCAGAUCCUUGGAUGCAUUCCCAGAUAAAUCAGUCUGCCCAGAAGCUUUUAGAGCCCUUUUUGUAAUUGUUUUCUUUAGCAUUCCUUUCUUAUUCCCCUUUCUGCCAUCUUCUUCUUGACUCAUUUGGUAUAUAAGAUCCUCUGCUGCACCUGGCCAGUAGUCACCAUCGAAAUACGGGAGCCUAGCUGCAGUAACCUUAGCUCUACAUUCACCGGUUUGCAUAAAGAAAUGGUCAUAUAGAUUUAUAGUUUCUGCAACAAUGCCUUCCUUUGAAGCUUUUUUCAACAUUGCUAAGUACCUGCAAUGAACAACAUGAGCGUUUGGAUUAUGUAAAUGACUUUUUUCAUAGAAAAACUUUAUGUUUAUUCCAAAAAAGGUAACCGAACUAACCACUCUCGUAGUUUAUCAGAUUUUGGCGUCUUCUGUAUUUCUGGAUGGCAAUAUAAGAUAUAGUCCUCGCCCUUGAGAGGCGGACAAGCCCAUAUGUAGCAGCUCGUGAAACCACGCAACUUGCAGUAUUCUAGGUAACCGAUCUAAACACAUGAUCAAAUCAUACCCUUAAUCCUUCAAAAAAGAACACGGAUAUUAGCUAAUGACUAAUGUUUAAGAAGACCAGGACUUACCAGGAUUUCGUGGUAAACGAAAGUGCGCAGGGCCUCUCCGUAAUAAGAUCUAACCUCGGGUCUAAAGUACUUUACAGAAUCCAAAUAAGAGAGAUAAACUCGGCGUUGAUUAGGAAAUGCGCAUUCAGAACCAAACUCUUGGACGUACAUCCCAAAUAAGCAAACUUCUACACCUUCAAUCUUUUGGAACAACAGAACCACCUGGCAAAAUAAAAUGAUGUGUGAGAAUGGAUACUUCAAGAAAGAAAUGCAUAAAUUCACGAUGAGCCUUGAUCAUUCUUUACCUUGGACUUGUAUGCAAACUCUGUUGGGUAACUAUCUUCCCGAAAAAUUUCAAGAAACCGAGGUUUGACUUCCAGCUUCUUGUCAACAGAUGAAACAACUCUAAUCACAAGGGACUCGGCAGUAGGCACCUCAUCAAAACUUUUUCCUUGAGCCCUGGCUCUCUCUGUUCUUUCCUGCUUCAGCUUCUUAAACAGCCGCUGCUCAAUAUGGUCACUGAGAAUUGUUCUCGGAAGGUCUUUCGCUCCAAGAACAGCACUCUGAGGUAAAGGCUUCCUCUUACUUUGUUCCACUUCUGCUAUAUAGCAAUAAGGGCAGGUAUACUCAGCUUGCCCUCCGUCAUUCCUUCUCCCAUUAAACAAAGCACAGAUCUGAUGCUGCCAUGCCUCACAUUUAUCACAUUGGACCCACUGAAAAGGUAGAAACAGAUUACAGAAUGUACUGAAAAUCAGGAGACAAACACAAAAAGAGUGGAUAGUCGUUUACCCAUUCUUCAGUCUCUUCAUCAUUUUUCUUUUUCUCGAGUCUUGCCUUAGGUAUGGGCGUCCCCUCAGCGAGUAUAGUGUCCCCACGGGAUUCAUUAUAACAUGGAAUACAAAAGUAGUGACGAGUGUCACCAGCUCCUACGGUGUAAUACAUAGCAUUUCUCUUGAUGCGGGCACCACAAGGGGUACAAUAUAUAGGUGGUGGCUCAAAGAUCGUGGCUGCUAUGGCCCCAAACGCCGCUGUGGAUAUACAAACUGUCGCUGCAGCCGAUUUAGUCACCCAGCAGCUAUGACACUGAUAUCUACUACUUCGGUUGUUCAAUAGAUUCAAACGGUAGAGAGAAGGAUACAGAGUGUGUGUUAUCAUUACUUAACUGGUUCUUUUGAUCUCAUCAGAUUCUCUGCGUCUUGUUUUCGCGACAAGGUUAACCUAGUGGUUCUUGUUGAACACUCUAUCUUGUUUAGACACUUGUCAAUAUCUGGUGGCUUGGAAUUUAGAAACUUUUCAGACUUCCACGUAUGCCAGAAUCUUAUGCUUACAUGACACAAUCACACACAAUUUAAAACAGUAGUAAUUAACCAUAAGACUAAUUCAAGAACCAAAUAACUAUGAUUGCAACUUACAAAUGUGAUUACAGUUUCCUCAAAACAGAAAAGACAAAAAAGUGGAAGAGAAUCAAAAGACAAACACUCUAUCUCUAUCUUACUUUUCUUGCAAGAAACAAGUUAACGUAACUGUAUAUGUUACACUAUUGCCAUUCCCAAAUCAGAAAUGGCAAUUUUACAAGAAUACAAUAUAAAUUACUAUAAAUAGAAACAAGUGAGGGACGUGUGUGUGCGUGUGUAUAGUAUAUAAUCAUAAGAUCACCCAACCAAACCACAUCAAAUCUACUGACCUUGAGACUCGAGACGCUCUCAUCUUUGAAGAAGACUCGACUUUGCUCUUCUUCUUCUUCUUCUGCUUCUUCUGAAAAUCAAGUCUCACUCUGGGCACAUGUUAAAUACAAACCUAAGCUAAAUGCAUCAUUAGUCUCUAACUGCCUUGUCUUAAUCUUCUUCUUCAAUAAGAUAACGAUCAAGUUGUUGGAGCUCUCAGUGAAAGGGGCAACAUAUCUUGUUACCUUUGAGAGAAAGGAACUUUGAUUUGAUCUUUCCAAAUGUACAAGUUUUGAUUACCCUGAUCCUCCAGCGACUUCCGCAGCUCUCUGUCUCAUCAUUUCCAUCACAGCUGCUCUUCGCCUUGAAUCUGAUUGCUGCUGUAAUCUUCUCAGAUGCUCCUUCAGGUCACUGAAUGAAAGAGAGAGAGAGAGAGAGAAUAUCACAACCAUCAUCAACACAAAAUUCAAAUGAACCAAAGUGGUUUGAUGUAUUUCAUGGAUCAUCAUAAAGUCGUUUACCUGCAACGAGGUACAUGGCACUGAGAUUCCUUGCAGGCCCGAGCGUGGAGUUGCAGAAGAUACCACAUUUUCUUGCAUAGAACACAGCCUCCCGAAGCACGCACUUUGCACUGUAUACCAUGUCGGAAUAGUCCCUUCACUUUCCGGCAAUUUGGAUACUGACAAUUUGCAGAACGACAUUGUGAUGCAUGUACCAGAAGUUCCAGCAUUUUCCUCAGCUGCAAAUUCAAAAAAGAAGAGAACAUAAAACAAAGAAUGUAACCAAGAGAGAAGCAACACCAGCUCUCAAAAGAAACAGUAUUAAUACCUGCAAGACUCGCAACUGCCUUGCUUCUUUGUUCUGAGCAUUUUGAUCAGCUAGGGAUGGAUGAUUAGUCAACUUGUGAGGAUGAUUAACUCCACCAUCUCUACUGUAACAAGAGUUGCACACAUCGUAGUCUGGACAUACUUCACAGCGCCAGCCUUGACCAGUUUCAAUGUCGAGGUGACACGCAUUGCAGGUCGUGACAAACGCAGGAGCAGUUGGGUUAUGCAGAUGAUAAAGGACCAUCAUUGAUGAAUGUUUUGCCCGCCUCAACGUGUCGUACUGAUAAUGGUUCCCUUGACAAAGACUCAGAAACG